rnacentral:rRNA from 1 species
GACGAACGCUGGCGGCGUGCUUAACACAUGCAAGUCGAACGGAAAGGCCCUGCUUUUUUGGGGUGCUCGAGUGGCGAACGUGUGAGUAACACGUGAGUAACCUGCCCUUGACUUUGGGGUAUCUUCUGGUAACUUUUGCUAAUACCUGAUAGGAUCUCCUGCUUCUUGGUUGUGUUUGGUACUUUUCGGCGGUUGGGGAUGGACUCGCGGCUUAUCAGAUUUUUUGUGGGGUAGUGGCUUACCAAGGGUUUGACGGGUAGCCGGCAUGAGAGGGUGACCGGAGACAUUGGGACUGAGAUACGGACCAGAAUACAACGGGAGGCAGCAGUGGGGAAGAUUGCACAAGGGGAGGAAGCAUGAUGAAGCAACGCAGCGUGAGGGAUGAAGGGCUACGGGUUGUAAACAGCAUUCGAAUGUGAAGAAGAGUGAGUGACGGUAAUGGGUAAAGAAGCAACGGCUAACUACGUG